GAGCUACUCCCUCUGUUCCGAAUUACUUGUCUCACGUAUGAAUAUAUCUAGAUGUAUUUUAGUUCUACAUACACCCAUUUUAACGACGAGUAAUUUGGAACAGAGGGAGUAGCUU
rnacentral:pre_miRNA from 1 species